rnacentral:rRNA from 1 species
CCUAACGGUUAAUACCCGGAGACGAUGACAUUAGCUGCAGAAUAAGCACCGGCUAACUCUGUGCCAGCAGCCGCGGUAAUACAGAGGGUGCAAGCGUUAAUCGGAAUUACUGGGCGUAAAGCGAGCGUAGGUGGCUUGAUAAGUCAGAUGUGAAAUCCCCGGGCCUAACCUGGGAACUGCAUCUGAAACUGUUAGGCUAGAGUAGGUGAGAGGGAAGUAGAAUUUCAGGUGUAGCGGUGAAAUGCGUAGAGAUCUGAAGGAAUACCGAUGGCGAAGGCAGCUUCCUGGCAUCAUACUGACACUGAGGCUCGAAAGCGUGGGUAGCAAACAGGAUUAGAUACCCUGGUAGUCCACGCCGUAAACGAUGUC